rnacentral:rRNA from 1 species
AUUGAACGCUGGCGGAAUGCUUUACACAUGCAAGUCGAACGGCAGCACGGACUUCGGUCUGGUGGCGAGUGGCGAACGGGUGAGUAACAUAUCGGAACGUAUCCAAUAAUGGGGGAUAACGAGUCGAAAGAUUCGCUAAUACCGCAUACGCCCUACGGGGGAAAGCUGGGGACCUUCGGGCCUGGCGUUAAUGGAGCGGCCGAUAUCUGAUUAGCUAGUUGGUGAGGCAAAGGCUCACCAAGGCGACGAUCAGUAGCUGGUCUGAGAGGACGACCAGCAACAAUGGAACUGAGACACGGUCCAGACUCCUACGGGAGGCAGCAGUGGGGAAUUUUGGACAAUGGGCGCAAGCCUGAUCCAGCCAUUCCGCGUGAGUGAAGAAGGCCUUCGGGUUGUAAAGCUCUUUCGCAAGGGAAGAAAACUUAGCCACUAACAUUGGUUGAGGUUGACGGUACCUUGAUAAGAAGCACCGGCUAACUACGUGCCAGCCGCCGCAGUAA